ACACUAGGAAGACUCCAGGGUGAGACUCUAUAUAACUCUAAACUCUCUCUAUCGUUGAAUUAAGUAUCGGUUAAAAAUCAAAAUUAAGUAGUUGAACUGAAAAUUAAAAAAUUAAUGCAUCUUGCUAACAAAUCUCAGUAAAUUCUUCCAUUACCAAAAACCAUCUCUCUCUCUCUCAUGGGCUUUCUUGUCUUUUUACCCAAAUUCCCCAAUUUUUCCCUCCGAAAUUCUCAACCCUAACAUUCUGUUCCUCAAACUCAAGCUCUGAAGACAAAUUUCAUGUGAUUGAAGAUGGAUUAAAAGUCGACAGGAAGUCUCAACUUAAAAUUCAUUUUUACCCAUGGUCUAUUGAAGAUUGUACAUGCAUGAAACUUAGAAGAUGGAAAGCAUGAUUGCGGAUAAGUUUGACAUUUUUGAAGCUCUACAAGUUUAUAGAUUACGAUUACGCCACAAGAUUUGAAAAUGGUGCUGAGAAUGCACCAAAAAUUGGUCAAUUUAGUGCUUAAAAUGGUGCAGAAAUUGUGGUGAUAUUAUGCUGGAUGGCUGUUGAAAAUGGUCUAAAAUGGGGCUGAAAAUGGUAUAAUUUAUA